rnacentral:rRNA from 1 species
UGGGGAAUAUUGGACAAUGGGCGAAAGCCUGAUCCAGCCAUGCCGCGUGUGUGAAGAAGGUCUUCGGAUUGUAAAGCACUUUAAGUUGGGAGGAAGGGCAUUAACCUAAUACGUUAGUGUUUUGACGUUACCGACAGAAUAAGCACCGGCUAACUCUGUGCCAGCAGCCGCGGUAAUACAGAGGGUGCAAGCGUUAAUCGGAAUUACUGGGCGUAAAGCGCGCGUAGGUGGUUUGUUAAGUUGGAUGUGAAAGCCCCGGGCUCAACCUGGGAACUGCGUCCAAAACUGGCAAGCUAGAGUACGGUAGAGGGUGGUGGAAUUUCCUGUGUAGCGGUGAAAUGCGUAGAUAUAGGAAGGAACACCAGUGGCGAAGGCGACCACCUGGACUGAUACUGACACUGAGGUGCGAAAGCGUGGGGAGCAAACA